ensembl:lncRNA
CUGCUGAGCUGCCUUUGGGGUUAAACCACAGCAAUAAACUGUCUUCUGUGUCUUCAGAAGGUGCUGUGCUUCUCUGUCACACUGCCACCAUAGAUAGAUCAGUACUGAAGGAUCUGGAAAGAAGCGCUGCACGAAGGUAAAUUUUUUGGUCAAAUAUAUUAGCAAAACAGUAGUGUCCAAUUUUAUUUCAAUAACGCCUUUGUCUUUUUCUCCCUCAGACAAUUUAAGGUAAAACCACUAAAAUUCACACUGAAUCUUUGCUUUGUUGGAGCACUGAAAAGCCUUACAUAAAGGUUCUUGAAAAUCAGGGCUUCUCAGGGAAGCAGGUAUGUGUUGUUGUAACUGCACUUCUUUCUGUUGAGGUAUAAUGAGCAAGAAGGAAGUGUUGAAAUAAAAGAGCUGAUUAAGAGCUGCUUUAAUGAAGAGGUAGGUGUGAUCUGUAAACCAGUAAGAUAAACUUUCUCAUUAAAUCAUAUCUAGUGUAUUUCAGUGUGUACCCUGCUUCACUUGGCAGCCUUUCUUCAUAGCAGUAUCACCAGAGAACUAAGACCAUCAUCGUAACAGGUUGAUGCUGUUCUCUAAUUCCCAGUUUUCUCUCUGUCUGAUCACACCGCUGCCUUUUGCUCCCAUGGGAACAAAAGACAUUUUAAUACAACAGCUGAUCAUCAGCUGUCCUGGGCAGGGUUGCCUUCAUUGUUGUUUUCACAGCUGGAGGACUCAUGCCCAAGGAUUAAACGCUUGAAGUAUUGGAAACUUUUACUGAGAGACCUUGAAAAAAGCAGUACCAUCCUGGCCAAUCUGAGGAAGUAACUUCAGAUCCAUCACCGUAUUUUGCUUUUGGAUCUGUGCUUACUGUGCUUAGGCUGUGAGCAAUGGUAUUGAUGGCUGUCACAUAACACCCAAAGACGGAGGUGUCUAUUGGUACUAGUUGUAUGGAGUUCCACAGGAACUGUGUUCUGCUGCGUCCUGGAGAGGUAAUGAGAGACCAAAUAAUGCCUCAGCUGAGGAUAUUCAGAUUAUUUGCACACGCUGAGCUAUCACAUAGCCCUGUUAGAAGAAAGCGAUGAAAUAAAAUCUAUGUUAACAGCGAGUUAACUGAGGCUGCUGGAGCGAAAAGGACAAAGAAAUGCACAUCAUUUGCAUGUGUUAAUAGGAAUAAGGAAGCUGAAAAAAACAGACCGUGCCCAUACUCCAUCACUGCCAGCACAGCCGCUUGGAGCUGCCCCGACGCUGAUCUACUGACGCUGGCUUUGUGCCAGAGUACAUCCCGUUCAUCGUUUUGACAAGCAGGGACUCUCAUUAAGCAAGGCUGGGAAAACGGAGACUGGAGAAGCUUGGUUUGCACCAUCUGCACCAGACUUGCUGGGACUUGCUCUGUGCAGACAGUCUCUGUGCACUGGGACGGAGGGACGAAGCAGAGCAGCCCAUGCUGCCCAGUGCUUAUGUGGUCGCUCCAGCUGAGCAAUGCGGUCUCAGAACACAAUUCAUCCUCGUUCAAGUGGCACUCAGGUGUGCGGCUGAUACUUCUGUGCUUUGUGUCAAUAGCAGAGGAAGCACUUUUCUGGCCCUUCUGCCCUGUAGAUAUCCAAGCAUUCUAUUGUGUGACAGAGACCCGAGCUCACCUGUUUCUCAGUCUGGUAAACAUCAAAACACAGAGAAAAGUUGUUAUGUAUGUUUAAAAACAAACAAAAAAAGCAAAAACAAGAAGCUCAGGAAGAAAAUGUAUCUUUCAUAGCUAUUAAAAAAAAAAAAUCACAAAAAAACCCAGAAGUAAACAUCACACAUUAAAAUGUUGGUUUAUACAUUCUUUCCACUGCAUCUUUAGAUCUGAAGGGACUCUCCCUGUAGUCAUUCUGUGGUUCCUUUGUGCUCCUUAGAGCUGUUGAAAAUAAGUAGCUGCUAACUAACUGGAGAAGAGGCAUUGUAAGCGUCAUCAAGAGCAAAUAACUGAAGGCCUCCCUCUCUUCCUGUGCUAUCCUUGCAGGUUCAGUUCUUCAGAACUACUAUAAACACAGAAUCACUGUGUGAGCACUUCAUCCAGCAUAGAGGAGCUUCCAUUGCAUGGACAGAUGCUGUUUGAAGGAACGCUGAGAUUCUGGAGUGAAAGCUGCUAUAUAACUUCAAAACAUGGUUGAACAAGAAGUGGAGCAGCCUAAUGAAGCAUGGAUUCAGCUACUAAAGCUGGAGACUUUAUAAAUGUAAAGAAUUUUUUAUCAGGUAUUCAAAAUCUAGGUGACCCAUCAGGCCCUUGGUAGAUUGCUCCUGAAGUGACAAUACUCCAGUGCUUCCUCCAAGUGGAUGCCCAACAAGCAGGACAACAGUACAAGCAGCAGAACCUGAGGUGUUCGUCUGCAGCACAGUGUUUACUAAGAAUACUGAUUUAUUUCUUUUUCUUCACCUUCUAUUCCAGAUGGGAAGUUUACCUAGCCAGCUUAGUUUGUCUUUGCAGGUAUUUCUCACAUUACAUUCUUUUGAUGGCUGCAGAUUGUAGUGC